rnacentral:rRNA from 1 species
UACGUAGGGUGCAAGCGUUAAUCGGAAUUACUGGGCGUAAAGCGUGCGCAGGCGGUUAUGUAAGACAGAUGUGAAAUCCCCGGGCUCAACCUGGGAACUGCAUUUGUGACUGCAUAGCUAGAGUACGGUAGAGGGGGAUGGAAUUCCGCGUGUAGCAGUGAAAUGCGUAGAUAUCUGGAGGAACACCGGUGGCGAAGGCGGCAUCCUGGACCGGCAUUGACGCUGAGGCGCGAAAGCCAGGGGAGCAAACGGG